rnacentral:rRNA from 1 species
CCUACGGGCGGCAGCAGUGAGGAAUAUUGGUCAAUGGCCGGAAGUCUGAACCAGCCAAGUCGCGUGAGGGACGACUGCCCUAUGGGUUGUAAACCUCUUUUAUACGGGAAGAAUAAAUGCUACGUGUAGCAUGAUACCUGUACCUUAUGAAUAAUCAUCGGCUAACUCCGUUCCAGCAGCCGCGGUAAUACUGAGGAUGCGAGCGUUAUCCUGAUUUAUUGGGUUUAUAGGGUGCGUAGGUGGUUUUUUACGUUAGUGGUUAAACGUCGGGGCUUCACCUUGAUUUGCCAUUAAUAGUGUAAGACUCGAGUUCAGACGAGGUAGGCGGAAUAAGUUAAGUAGCGGUGAAAUGCUGAGAUAUAACGUAGAACACCGAUAGCGAAGGCAGCUUACCAGACUGCGACUGACGCUGAAGCACGAGAGCGUGGGUAGCGAACAGGAUUAGAUACCCGUGUAGUC